UACAGAGGGGGCAAGCGUUAUUCGGAAUUAUUGGGCGUAAAGGGCGCGUAGGCGGCUUUGCAAGUGACGGGUGAAAUCCCUCGGCUUAACCGAGGAACUGCCUGUCAAACUGCAUGGCUUGAGACCGGGAGAGGUGAGUGGAAUUCCUGGUGUAGCGGUGGAAUGCGCAGAUAUCAGGAGGAACACCAAUAGCGAAGGCAGCUCGCUGGGACGGUACUGACGCUAAGGCGCGAAAGCGUGGGGAGCGAACAGG
rnacentral:rRNA from 1 species